rnacentral:rRNA from 2 species
AGAGUUUGAUCCUGGCUCAGAACGUACGCUGGCGGCACGCCUAACACAUGCAAGUCGAACGAAGUAGCAAUACUUAGUGGCAAACGGGUGAGUAACAUGUGGGUAUCUGCCCUUCGGCCUGGAAUAACACGGGGAAACUUGUGCUAAUACCGGAUAAGUCUUUUAAGAGAAAGCUUUAUGCACCGAUGGAUGAGCCCGCACCUGAUUAGUUAGUUGGUGAGGUAAUGGCUCACCAAGACAAUGAUCAGUAGCUGAUUUGAGAGGAUGAUCAGCCACAUUGGGACUGAGACACGGCCCAAACUCCUACGGGAGGCAGCAGUGGGGAAUCUUGCACAAUGGGGGAAACCCUGAUGCAGCGAUGCCGCGUGAGUGAAGAAGGCCUUUGGGUUGUAAAGCUCUUUCGUCGGGGAAGAAAAUGACUGUACCCGAAUAAGAAGGUCCGGCUAACUUCGUGCCAGCAGCCGCGGUAAUACGAAGGGACCUAGCGUAGUUCGGAAUUACUGGGCUUAAAGAGUUCGUAGGUGGUUAAAAUAGUUGGUGGUGAAAUCCCAGAGCUUAACUCUGGAACUGCCAUCAAAACUUUUUAGCUAGAGUAUGAUAGAGGAAAGUAGAAUUUCUAGUGUAGAGGUGAAAUUCGUAGAUAUUAGAAAGAAUACCAAUUGCGAAGGCAGCUUUCUGGAUCAUUACUGACACUGAGGAACGAAAGCAUGGGUAGCGAAGAGGAUUAGAUACCCUCGUAGUCCAUGCCGUAAACGAUGUGUGCUAGACGUUGGAAAUUUAUUUUCAGUGUCGCAGCAAAAGCGUUAAGCACACCGCCUGGGGAGUACGACCGCAAGGUUAAAACUCAAAUGAAUUGACGGGGACCCGCACAAGUAGUGGAGCAUGUGGUUUAAUUCGAAGAUACGCGCAGAACCUUACCAACACUUGACAUGUUCGUCGCGACUCUAAGAGAUUAGAGUUUUCGGUUCGGCCGGACGAAACACAGGUGCUGCAUGGCUGUCGUCAGCUCGUGUCGUGAGAUGUUGGGUUAAGUCCCGCAACGAGCGCAACCCUCACUUUUAGUUGCUACCAUUUAGUUGGGCACUCUGAAAGAACUGCCAGUGAUAAGCUGGAGGAAGGUGGGGAUGACGUCAAGUCCUCAUGGCCCUUACGUGUUGGGCUACACACGUGCUACAAUGGCAUCUACAACAGGAAGCAAGAAUGCGAGUUCAAGCAAAUCCUUAAAAGAUGCCUCAGUUCGGAUUGCACUCUGCAACUCGAGUGCAUGAAGCUGGAAUUACUAGUAAUCGCGGAUCAGCGCGCCGCGGUGAAUACGUUCCCGGGUCUUGUACACACCGCCCGUCACACCAUGGGAGUUGGUUCUACCUUAAGGCAAAAUGUUAACCUUCGGGAAGCAUUUGACCACGGUAUAGUCAGCGACUGGGGUGAAGUCGUAACAAGGUAACC